GAUUCAGUAAGUGGUUUGAGAGCACGACCAGUCACACGGGCACUGAGGCACGGGCCCGACUCGUACGGGAGGCAGCAGUAAGGAAUAUCGGUCAAUGGACGCAAGUCUGAACCAGCCAUGCCGCGUGGAGGAUGAAGGUCCUCUGGAUUGUAAACUUCUUUUAUCUGGGAAGAAAUGCAUCUUUUCUAGGGUGUUUGACGGUACCAGAUGAAUAAGCACCGGCUAACUCCGUGCCAGCAGCCGCGGUAAUACGGAGGGUGCAAGCGUUAUCCGGAUUCACUGGGUUUAAAGGGUGCGUAGGUGGGCAGUUAAGUCAGUGGUGAAAUCUCCGGGCUCAACCCGGAAACUGCCAUUGAUACUAUCUGUCUUGAAUAUCGUGGAGGUAAGCGGAAUAUGUCAUGUAGCGGUGAAAUGCUUAGAUAUGACAUAGAACACCAAUUGCGAAGGCAGCUUACUACCCGAAUAUUGACACUGAGGCACGAAAGCGUGGGGAUCAAACAGGAUUAGAUACCCUGGUAGUCCACGCCCUAAACGAUGGAUACUCGACAUACGCGAUACACAGUGUGUGUCUGAGCGAAAGCAUUAAGUAUCCCACCUGGGAAGUACGACCGCAAGGUUGAAACUCAAAGGAAUUGACG
rnacentral:rRNA from 1 species